GACGAACGCUGGCGGCGUGCUUAACACAUGCAAGUCGAACGGUGAAGCGCCUUCCUUUUUGGUGGGUGUGGAUGAGUGGCGAACGGGUGAGUAACACGUGAGUAACCUGCCCCCUUCUUCUGGAUAACCGCAUGAAAGUGUGGCUAAUACGGGAUAUUCUGGUUCUGUCGCAUGAUGGGUCUGGGAAAGAUAUUGUUUCGGUGGGGGAUGGGCUCGCGGCCUAUCAGCUUGUUGGUGGGGUGAUGGCCUACCAAGGCGGUGACGGGUAGCCGGCCUGAGAGGGUGGACGGUCCCACUGGGACUGAGACACGGCCCAGACUACUACGGGAGGCAGCAGGGGGGAAUAUUGCACAAUGGGCGCAAGCCUGAUGCAGCGACGCCGCGUGAGGGAUGGAGGCCUGCGGGUUGUGAACCUCUUUCGCCAGUGAAGCAGGCCUGCCUCGUUUGUGGGUGGGUUGACGGUAGCUGGAUAAGAAGCGCCGGCUAACUACGUG
rnacentral:rRNA from 1 species